ensembl:misc_RNA Metazoa_SRP Metazoan signal recognition particle RNA
GCCGGGUGCGGUGGCGCGCGCCUGUAAUCCAAGUUACCGGGAGGCUGAGGCUGGAGGAUCGUUUGAGCUCAGGAGCUCUGAGCUGCAGCGGACUAUGCCGAUCGGGUGUCCGCGCUAAGUUCGGUAUCGACAUGGUGCUCCUGAGGGAGCCCGGGACCACCAGGUCGUCUAAGGAGGGGUGCACCGGCCCAGGUCGGAGACGGAGCAGGUCAAAGCCCCCGUGCCGCUCAGUAGUGUGAUCGCGCCUGUGAAUAGACGCUGUAGUGCAGCCUGAGUAAUACAGCGGGACCCAGUCUUUU